rnacentral:rRNA from 1 species
GAUGAACGCUAGCGGCAGGCCUAAUACAUGCAAGUCGAACGGUGUCUUCGGACAUAGUGGCGCACGGGUGCGUAACACGUAUGCAACCUACCUUACAUUGGGGGAUAGCCUUUCGAAAGGGAGAUUAAUACCGCAUAAGACAGUAGCUGGGCAUCCAGCAGCUGUAAAGAUUUAUCGAUGUAAGCUGGGCAUGCGUCCAAUUAGCUAGUUGGUGAGGUAACGGCUCACCAAGGCAAUGAUUGGUAGGGGAACUGAGAGGUCAACCCCCCACACUGGCACUGAGAUACGGGCCAGACUCCUACGGGAGGCAGCAGUAGGGAAUAUUGGGCAAUGGACGCAAGUCUGACCCAGCCAUGCCGCGUGCAGGAUGAAGGCGUUAUGCGUUGUAAACUGCUUUUAUACAGGAAGAAACGACUCUUGCGAGAGGCAUUGACGGUACUGUAUGAAUAAGCACCGGCUAACUCCGUGCCAGCAGCCGCUGUAACAC